UGGGAUUAGAGUCGUGAGCCACCAUGCCUGGCCAAGAUAUGAGGGAAAUCAUCCAUUUUUAUGCUUAGGUUCCUCAAGGUAUGGACAGCCAUGCAGAAAUAGAAUUGGGCAAAUAGGGUCGGAUCUAAUGAGAAGAGCCUGAGUGGGGACACCCAGCCAGGCCUGUCUGUGUAGAUUCUUGUGGCCUCUCUGAGCAGUGCUCCUUCCUUCCUUCCUUCUCUCCUUCCAUCCAUCCAGGACCCUCUCUGGAGUGAGGUUCUUAAGAUCUACAGUCUAACAAGGCAGAAAUACAACUAAGAAACACAACUUCCUACGUGGUAUGAAAUCACUCUGCUCUUCUGCCUGAGAAAGUUGUCAGAAUAGAAAUAGAGUCACAAAUGUUCACAAAACCCUGAUGAAUAGAAUUGGAGAAGUCCUGAAGAGAAGAUUGCCAGGCUUGCAGGCCUGAUUGAAAAAAAAAAAAA